rnacentral:rRNA from 1 species
CCUACGGGUGGCAGCAGUGAGGAAUAUUGGUCAAUGGGCGCGAGCCUGAACCAGCCAAGUAGCGUGAAGGAUGACUGCCCUACGGGUUGUAAACUUCUUUUAUAAAGGAAUAAAGUGAGGCACGUGUGCCUCUUUGUAUGUACUUUAUGAAUAAGGAUCGGCUAACUCCGUGCCAGCAGCCGCGGUAAUACGGAGGAUCCGAGCGUUAUCCGGAUUUAUUGGGUUUAAAGGGAGCGUAGAUGGGUUGUUAAGUCAGUUGUGAAAGUUUGCGGCUCAACCGUAAAAUUGCAAUUGAUACUGGCAGGCUUGAGUACAGUAGAGGUAGGCGGAAUUCGUGGUGUAGCGGUGAAAUGCUUAGAUAUCACGAAGAACUCCGAUUGCGAAGGCAGCUUGCUGAACUGUAACUGACAUUGAUGCUCGAAAGUGUGGGUAUCAAACAGGAUUAGAUACCCUGGUAGUC